rnacentral:rRNA from 1 species
UGCGUAGGUGGCCUGGAAAGUUUGAUGUGAAAGCUCGGAGCUUAACUCCGAAAUGGCAUUGAAUACUACUGGGCUUGAGGGUCGGAGGGGAGACUGGAAUUCUCGGUGUAGCAGUGAAAUGCGUAGAUAUCGAGAGGAACACCAGUGGCGAAGGCGAGUCUCUGGACGACCCCUGACACUGAGGCAAGACUAGGGAGCGAACA